GAUGAAGAACGCAGCGAAAUGAGAUAAGUAGUGUGAAUUGCAGAAUUCAGUGAAUCAUCGAAUCUUUGAACGCACAUUGCGCCCCUUGGUAUCCCGAGGGGCAUGCCUGUUCGAGCGUCAUUUCACCACUCAAGCCUGGCUUGGUGUUGGGCGACGUCCCCUUUGGGGACGCGCCUCGAAACGCUCGGCGGCGUGGCACCGGCUUUAAGCGUAGCAGAAUCUUUCGCUUUGGAAGUCGGGGCCCCGUCUGCCGGAAGACCUACUCGCAAGGUUGACCUCGGAUCAGGAAGGGAUACCCGCUGAACUUAAGCAUAUCAAUAAGCGGAGGA
rnacentral:misc_RNA from 1 species